ACGUAGGGGGCAAGCGUUGUCCGGAAUUAUUGGGCGUAAAGGGCGCGUAGGCGGAUAGUUAAGUCCGGUGUGAAAGAUCAGGGCUCAACCCUGAGAGUGCAUCGGAAACUGGUUAUCUUGAGGACAGGAGAGGAAAGUGGAAUUCCACGUGUAGCGGUGAAAUGCGUAGAUAUGUGGAGGAACACCAGUGGCGAAGGCGACUUUCUGGACUGUAACUGACGCUGAGGCGCGAAAGCGUGGGGAGCAAACAGGAUUAGAUACCCUGGUAGUCCACGCUGUAAACGAUGAGUGCUAGGUGUAGGAGGUAUCGACCCCCCCUGUGCCGCAGUUAACACAAUAAGCACUCCGCCUGGGGAGUACGGCCGCAAGGUUG
rnacentral:rRNA from 1 species